AUGACAAAAAUGAACAGAAACUACUACCUCCUCCCUCAUGAAGAUGACCCGGUCAGAACCAUUCGGAACAAGAACUGUAUUGGCAAAGUAAUGUUCCUGACCGCUGUUGCUCGACCCAGAUAUGAUGCUGAAGGCAAUGUAACAUUCUCAGGAAAAAUUGGUGUCUGGCCUUUCGUCCAAGAGAUUCCAGCUGCUAGAAGAAGUGAAAAUAGAGCAAGAGGGACCAUGGAAAUCAAGAACGUCACUGUGAACCGACACGUAAUGCGGCAGUAUAUGAUAGAGAAAGUGGUUCCGGGAAUAAAAGAAGUGUGGCCCACAGAUGAUAUUGGCCCAAUAUUGAUCCAACAGGACAACGCGAAGACACAUAUUCUUCCCGGUGAUGCAGAGUUUGCAGAAGCUGUGGCUACAACUGGUCUCGACAUUAGAAUAAUACAACAACCUCCAAAUUCUCCAGAUCUGAAUGCACUUGAUCUUGGAUAUUUCAGAUCCCUUGAGUCUUUGACCGACUGCAGAGCCCCUACGACUAUCAAAGAACUGAUUCAAGGUGUGCAGGAAUAG
rnacentral:rRNA from 1 species